AUUCGCCCUUAGAGUUGGAUCCUGGCUCAGGACGAACGCUGGCGGCGUGCUUAACACAUGCAAGUCGAACGAGAAUCUACUGAAAGAGUUUUCGGACAAUGGAUGUAGAGGAAAGUGGCGGACGGGUGAGUAACGCGUGAGGAACCUGCCUUGAAGAGGGGGACAACAGUUGGAAACGACUGCUAAUACCGCAUGACGCAUAGGGGUCGCAUGAUCUUUAUGCCAAAGAUUUAUCGCUUCAAGAUGGCCUCGCGUCUGAUUAGCUAGUUGGCGGGGUAACGGCCCACCAAGGCGACGAUCAGUAGCCGGACUGAGAGGUUGAACGGCCACAUUGGGACUGAGAUACGGCCCAGACUCCUACGGGAGGCAGCAGUGGGGAAUAUUGGGCAAUGGGCGCAAGCCUGACCCAGCAACGCCGCGUGAAGGAAGAAGGCUUUCGGGUUGUAAACUUCUUUUAAGAGGGAAGAGGAGAAGACGGUACCUCUAGAAUAAGCCACGGCUAACUACGUGCCAGCAGCCGCGGUAAUACGUAGGAGGCAAGCGUUGUCCGGAUUUACUGGGUGUAAAGGGCGUGCAGCCGGGUCUGCAAGUCAGAUGUGAAAUCCAUGGGCUCAACCCAUGAACUGCAUUUGAAACUGUAGAUCUUGAGUGUCGGAGGGGCAAUCGGAAUUCCUAGUGUAGCGGUGAAAUGCGUAGAUAUUAGGAGGAACACCAGUGGCGAAGGCGGAUUGCUGGACGAUAACUGACGGUGAGGCGCGAAAGUGUGGGGAGCAAACAGGAUUAGAUACCCUGGUAGUCCACACUGUAAACGAUGAAUACUAGGUGUGCGGGGACUGACCCCCUGCGUGCCGCAGUAAACACAAUAAGUAUUCCACCUGGGGAGCCCGAUCGCAAGGU
rnacentral:rRNA from 1 species